UCUAGAAUAAAAGAAAAAUAAUAAAUGGCUCUUAUGGUGUGCCUUGGAAGAAAGGUUUCUCUGUAGAGGAAAGGAAUAACAAAUUAUUCCGAUAAUUUUUCCUAUAGAAAAUCUAGUAACAAGAAGAUUUAAUCGGAAAUAUCGACAAAUUCUUGUGGAGUCCAAAACAAAAAAAUGAAAUAAAAAAAUCAACUGCUCCAAUUUCAU
rnacentral:lncRNA from 1 species